CCUGGGUCUGGUAGUUAAAGAUCAACCCCUGACCUAAUUGGUUAUGUUAUCUACAGAUUACAUUGUAUAGAAAAGCACUGUGAACAUCCCUAUCCUGCUUUGUUCCAAUCUAAUUACCAGUGCAUGCAGCCCCCAGUCACGUACCUCCUGCUUGCUCAAUCGAUGACCACCCUCUCACGCGCAGCCCCCAAUCAUGUACCUCCUGCUUGCUCAAUCGAUGACGACCCUCUCACGCGCACCCCCUUAGAGUUGUGAGCCUUUAAAAGGGACAGGAAUUGCUCACUCAGGGAGCUUGGCUCUUGAGACAGGAGUCUUGCCGAUGCCCCCAGCCAAAUAAACCCCUUCCUUCUUUAACUGGGUGUCUGAGGAGUUUUGUCUGUGGCUCGUCCUGCUACAUUUCUUGGUUCCCUGACUGGGAAGUGAGGUGAUUGGUGGAUGGUUGAGGCAGCUCCUUAGGCGGCUUAAGCCUGCCCUGUGGAACAUGCCUGCUGGGGACUCCGACCAGCCUGAGAGACGCAGAUCCUGAGAGCGCUCCCGGGUACGCAUUUGCCCCGGUUGGACGCCUCGCCAGAGCAGUGUGUGGCAGGCUACCGUGGAGGAUCAACACAGUGGCUGAACACCAUGAAGGAGCAGGCACUUGGAGUCUGGACAUCUAAAACUUGCUCUGUAUUUUCUUCCUCAUGAAGACUUUUGCUGCAUUUUUGAGGCUAUAGACAUUAAUAUCUGGUAUGUUUUCUUUGAGUAUUAAAGCUUUUAAUAUUAUAAAGUGAACUAGAAUCUAUUAUGAUUUUAUUCUGAAAGUAAGCUUGCUAGACGCUAAUAUUUUAUUCUUCACUCUCCUCCUACUUUUCCAUAGUUCAUCAUUGUCACGUUUUUAUGUUUAGCGUUUCUGGAUUUCAUUGUUUUAGGUUUGUCUCUAGUGUUCUGCAUAGGGUGAGAAAGCCUCUCUAACUUUUUAAAUAUUAUCAAUACGUUUGGCUUCAGUUCUCUUGUGGUCGUUUCAUUUCUAUUUUAUUUUUUUCUAUCACUUUUUAUUAUUUAAGUUUUAUACUUUCAUUCAAAUGGUCAAAUUCUUAUACUUACUUUUGUAUGUAAUGUUCUCAUCUCUGUCCCCCAAAUUUGGAUACAGUAUAUUGGUUCCCUACUAUUAACUAUAAUGAACUUUACCAGUCAACUCUUUUUCCUCCUUUUCUCCUUUUCCUCCAAGAUUUAAUGUGAAGUAAAAAUCUUUUAUACCCAUAGUUUUGUAGUUCAACUCUAUCUUCAUUAUGAGACAUACACAAUUUACAUACUAUACCUUUUCCAUUAUGAUGUUCAUUUUAUUUCAGUUUACCAGAAAUAAACAACAUUAAUUUACUACUCAUGACUAAAUUUUUAUGUUGGUGUCCUCCUGUUUUUUUUUUUAAUUAUCUGAA
rnacentral:lncRNA from 1 species